UACGGAGGGGGCAAGCGUUGUUCGGAAUUACUGGGCGUAAAGGGCGCGCAGGCGGCUGCUCAAGUCAGGCGUGAAAGGCCUGGGCUCAACCCGGGAAUUGCGCUUGAGACAGGGCUGGCUUGAGUGCGGGAGAGGAUGGUGGAAUUCCCAGUGUAGAGGUGAAAUUCGUAGAUAUUGGGAAGAACACCGGUGGCGAAGGCGGCCAUCUGGACCGCAACUGACGCUGAGGCGCGAAAGCGUGGGGAGCAAACAGG
rnacentral:rRNA from 1 species